AGACCUUUCUUGAGAUGUCAGCCUGGAUAGAUAUUUUUUUGAGUGAUGAUGAUUCUUGUGACGAUUCUUGUUAUUAUUUUGGGGGGCGAUGUUUUGAGGCAUGCUGUCCAGAUUUACCUGGAAUUGUAAGGACUGGACCUACACAAUAUGAUUCGGAUACUGUCCUACUUACUGUAACUUGGUGUUUUGCUUGUGGUUAGAGUGAUCAUACUGAAGAUAUGUGUGC
rnacentral:lncRNA from 1 species